rnacentral:rRNA from 1 species
UACGGAGGGGGCUAGCGUUGUUCGGAAUUACUGGGCGUAAAGCGCACGUAGGCGGCUUUGUAAGUUAGAGGUGAAAGCCCGGAGCUCAACUCCGGAACUGCCAUUGAAACUGUUUAGCUUGAGGACGAGAGAGGUGAGUGGAAUUCCCAGUGUAGAGGUGAAAUUCGUAGAUAUUGGGAAGAACACCGGUGGCGAAGGCGGCGACCUGGUCCUUGACUGACGCUGAGGCGCGAAAGCGUGGGGAGCAAACAGG